UACGGAGGGUGCAAGCGUUAUCCGGAUUCACUGGGUUUAAAGGGUGCGUAGGCGGGCAUGUAAGUCCGUGGUGAAAUCUCCGAGCUUAACUCGGAAACUGCCAUGGAUACUAUGUGUCUUGAAUGUUGUGGAGGUGAGCGGAAUAUGACAUGUAGCGGUGAAAUGCUUAGAUAUGACAUAGAACACCAAUUGCGAAGGCAGCUCACUACACAAAUAUUGACGCUGAGGCACGAAAGCGUGGGGAUCAAACAGG
rnacentral:rRNA from 1 species